GCAAAGAUUCCUCUCUCCGUCUGUCUGCAUAGUUCUUUCUUCAUUCUGGAGUGCUCAGUGUCACUACCCUUAGUGAGAGUGAACAUUUGCCCAGUUCCAGGGUAAAUUCAAGGUGGGUCUGGGAUGAGCAGUUUGGAACUACUAAUUGGAUGAGGAUUGACAAUGUUGCUUUCAAUGGGAUCCUGAACCUAAUGUAUCACACACUGUUUAUAAGUUCUGGCAAAAGUUUGUCAGCCUGGAGGUGGUUUCAGCUCAUGAGAUAUACUUCAGUUUUCCCUUGUCUAAAACACUGACUCAUUCUAUGAAUUCGCAACUGGCACUUUUCCCCCUGUGGCCUCUCUGUUGAUCCAUUUCCGCUAACCAAUACACGGUUUCCACAUGGCAUAUUUUUUCCCUUUUGACAAAAAUUUGCAACCGAACCUUCCUAUGAGAGACUAUAUAUGUGAACUACUCCAAAGGGCUUAUGGAAAGCUAAAUUGGGACUGUUUUUCUUAGCACAUCAGUUUGUAUGAUAAGGGGUGAAAGAAAAAAAAAAAAGCAAAAGGCAAACUUUUGUUUGGAUUCAAAUGUCAUCUUUGCCUGUGCCACAUUUAUUUUUAUUUCCUCUCUGACAAGAAUGUUAACUUUCCAGGAAAACUCAACUUCUCUAAGAGAACAGCCAACACAAACAAUUUUUUUAAGGUGUGAUUUUCGUUGAGGCUGUGAUUUUAUCGUUUGGAGCAAAUGGUGAAUUGGGAGAAAAAAAAAAGCUUGGAGUGUACAUUUCCUUUACUAAGACAUCAGAUUGAAUCAUGCUUUGGGUAUUUUGGCUAUAGUGUUUUCCAGUCCUUUGCCUCUCAGGAGACCCUAAUGUGAAACAAAAUGGAAAACUCUAUUCGCAUUCUCUUUGGGUGAGAUCUCCAGGGACUCGGAGGAGGCGAGAGAAACUUUCGCUUGCUCACGACGUAUUCUACACAGAUGUUGUCCCUGAAAAUAUUUGCAUUGGCAGCUUUUUAUAUUGGUACAAGGUGGAUUAUCUGAAAAGAAAUAAUCUUUUUCCCUUCCCAAAAUGCAAAGAUUUCUCUAUUCAAGUAGGAUAUUCUCAAAACAAAUUAGUUUUUUAAAAUUCAAAAUAGUCAGCUAUAUCAUAUAAGUAGCUGAAUUCCCUCAUAUUUGCCC
rnacentral:lncRNA from 1 species